rnacentral:misc_RNA from 1 species
UUUCCGUAGGUGAACCUGCGGAAGGAUCAUUAACGUGUAAGGGUCAUUAUGGCCCGACCUCCAACCCUUUGUUUAAUUGCCAUGUUGCUUUGGCGGGCCCGUUUCACGACCGCCGGAAGUCCUCGGACUUUUCCCCCGUGCCCGCGAAUAGCCUUCUACAAACUCUUGAUCAAUUGUGAUGUCUGCGUAAUAAAUUUAAUAGUUAAAACUUUCAACAACGGAUCUCUUGGUUCUG